rnacentral:rRNA from 1 species
UCGAAUCUGUAAAGCUGACCCGAGAACAUGUUCAAACGAAUUCGUGGACAUGAUGUUUGUGGAUGCCCUUGCAUUUCCAACAUUGUGGCCUCUAACCCCAAACGGCUCUGGUCGCUUGGGCGUACUAACCUCUCGGCGUGGCAAGCGCCAAGGAAAACCGAACAGAUCGCCUCUCCAUGCGGGUGGUACCCGGCAUGCGGGGGGGGAGCAUCUAUCGAAAUAGUCGUAACGACUCUCGGCAACGGAUAUCUCGGCUCUCGCAUCGAURAAGAACGUAGCGAAAUGCGAUACUUGGUGUGAAUUGCARAAUCCCGUGAACCAUCGAGUCUUUGAACGCAAGUUGCGCCCGAAGCCAUCAGGCCGAGGGCACGUCUGCCUGGGCGUCACGCAUCUCGUCGCCCCCCCCUCCCAACAUCAUCCUCCCCACACACUGUCGGGGAACGAUGCAUGAAACGUGGGGGGCGGAAAUUGGCCUCCCGUCACCAGAGCGUGGUGGCCGGCCCAAAUAGCAAGCCGUGUCGAUGGAUGUCGCACGAUACGUGGUGGUUGGACUGCUCAACUUGAAAACUAUCGUGCGGGACCUUCGGCCCACCGGCACGACCCAACGGCAUCGAAAUUGCCUACGACUGUA